GCAACAAGGUUUCAGUAGGAUGACCUGCGGAAGGAUCAUUA
rnacentral:rRNA from 1 species